UGCCCUUGACUCUGGGAUAAGCCUGGGAAACCGGGUCUAAUACUGGAUACGACCUUCCCGCGCAUGCGGUGUUGGUGGAAAGCUUUUGCGGUUUUGGAUGGACUCGCGGCCUAUCAGCUUGUUGGUGGGGUAAUGGCCUACCAAGGCGACGACGGGUAGCCGGCCUGAGAGGGUGACCGGCCACACUGGGACUGAGACACGGCCCAGACUCCUACGGGAGGCAGCAGUGGGGAAUAUUGCACAAUGGGCGCAAGCCUGAUGCAGCGACGCCGCGUGAGGGAUGAAGGCCUUCGGGUUGUAAACCUCUUUCAGUAGGGAAGAAGCCGGUCUUUCGGGGUUGGUGACGGUACCUGCAGAAGAAGCGCCGGCUAACUACGUGCCAGCAGCCGCGGUAAUACGUAGGGCGCAAGCGUUAUCCGGAAUUAUUGGGCGUAAAGAGCUCGUAGGCGGUUUGUCGCGUCUGCCGUGAAAGUCCGGGGCUUAACCCCGGAUCUGCGGUGGGUACGGGCAGACUAGAGUGCAGUAGGGGAGACUGGAAUUCCUGGUGUAG
rnacentral:rRNA from 1 species